rnacentral:tRNA from 1 species
GCCGAAGUGGCGAAAUGGCAGACGCACUAGACUCAAAAUCUGGCGCCAGUGAUGGCGUGUGGGUUCAAGUCCCACCUUCGGCACCA